rnacentral:rRNA from 1 species
AUGCACAAGCACAAAUUGCAGAUUUGGAAGCAAGGUGAGUACCUCACAGACAUGGCUAACUUGAAGAAGCUAUUAGCUAUGUUUGCUCUCGUGAUGUUCCUGUCACAGUGCCACAUCAGUGGCUUCCUGCAUGGAAAAUCCGGCGACUGCAACAGGGAUCACGGCUCGGUCUGCUGUAAAGACGGUCACCGCUACCCGCAAUUCAGGUGCUCACCCACGGUGUCGGCCGAUACGCCGGCGAUCCUAACUCUAAAUAGCUUCGCACGAGGUGGAGACGGUGGCGACAAAUCGUUCUGCGACAACCGCUUCCACAAGGACACCAAGCUGGUGGUGGCGCUGUCCACGGGGUGGCUGCGCCUGGACGGCAAGCGCAGGUGCAACAAGAUGAUUCGCAUCAACGGGAACGGGCGUGCCGUGCUGGCCAAGGUCGUCGAUGAGUGUGACUCGGUGUACGGCUGCGACGCCGAGCACAACUUCGAGCCACCGUGCCCAUACAACGACGUAGACACGUCACCGGCCGUGUGGAAGGCGCUGGGGCUCAAGGAGGAGAUUCGAGUGUUCAAGAUCACUUGCAGCGUGAACGUUACUACAGAGACCAAACAUCUUCGCGGCAGGUGCCACAUCAGUGGCUUCCUGCAUGGCAUAUCCGGCGACUACAACAGGGAUCACGGCUCGGUCUGCUGUAAAGACGGUCACCGCUACCCGCAAUUCAGGUGCUCGCCCCCGGUGUCGGCCGAUACGCCGGCGAUCCUAACUCUGAACAGCUUCGCACGAGGUGGAGACGGCGGCGGCAAAUCGUUCUGCGACAACCUUUUCCACAAGGACACCGAGCUGGUGGUGGCGCUGUCCAUGGGGUGGCUGCGCCUGGACGGCAAGCGCAGGUGCAACAAGAUGAUCCGCAUCAACGGGAACGGGCGUGCCGUGCUAGCCAAGGUCGUCGAUGAGUGUGACUCGGUGUAA